UGAUACAAUAAGGUGGUGUUUUUCUAUUCAAAAUCGUGGGGAAAUUUCCAAAUUCACCAUUACUAACCUAAAUAGAUUCAUCGGAAAAUCCAAAUGGUCUGACGAACCCAACGAAUCAUGAAAUCAGAUAAAAUCAAGGGUACCAGAGAAAGCGUAUCAAAAUGGUGCUUUCAGCACUAACUGGGUCCGGGGAAUGUACU